rnacentral:snRNA from 1 species
AAACUUAUACAGCAGAGGAAACAGCAUGACCACAAAGGUGGUUUCUCAGAUUGAAGCUUAUCCAUCACACUCCAGUUGUGUUCACUCUGGCAGUUUCCCCAAAGGUGGGAAUCUCAACUGCAAAAUUUAUGAAUGUGGGGGAGUAAAAUCUCUUU